AUUGAACGCUGGCGGCAUGCCUUACACAUGCAAGUCGAACGGCAGCACGGGUGCUUGCACCUGGUGGCGAGUGGCGAACGGGUGAGUAAUACAUCGGAACAUGUCCUAUAGUGGGGGAUAGCCCGGCGAAAGCCGGAUUAAUACCGCAUACGAUCUACGGAUGAAAGCGGGGGACCUUCGGGCCUCGCGCUAUAGGGUUGGCCGAUGGCUGAUUAGCUAGUUGGUGGGGUAAAGGCCUACCAAGGCGACGAUCAGUAGCUGGUCUGAGAGGACGACCAGCCACACUGGGACUGAGACACGGCCCAGACUCCUACGGGAGGCAGCAGUGGGGAAUUUUGGACAAUGGGCGAAAGCCUGAUCCAGCAAUGCCGCGUGUGUGAAGAAGGCCUUCGGGUUGUAAAGCACUUUUGUCCGGAAAGAAAUCCUUGGCCCUAAUACGGUCGGGGGAUGACGGUACCGGAAGAAUAAGCACCGGCUAACUACGUG
rnacentral:rRNA from 1 species